AGACAGGGAAACAGAUGGAGGGAGCAGGUUUUAGGGGAAGUGCUGUGGGUGUGGCAGCCAUCACUGCAGCUGGGCCUGUAUUGGAAGGGAAGGGACUCGCAUGUCCACAUUCUAGUGCACAUCUUUGAAACAAAGAAAAGUUAGGCAGGAAAGCACAAGCAGCUUAGAAGAGACGCAUUUCUGCCUAACAAGUUUGGGCAGAAAGUUCGAAGACCGUGGUCCUGAGCUACAGGCAGGAAAGGAACUCCAGAGACUAGCAACAUCCUAUGCCAUCUCCAUUCCAGACUUUCCUGAAGUUUCCUUGGAAGCAACUCUUCUGUGAUGGCUACUCUUGGUUGUCAACUUGACUAUGUCUGGAAUUAACUAAAACCCACGUGGCUGGGAGCACCUGUGAGGGACCUUCCUUCAUUAAACUGUUUGAAGUGAAAAUACCCACUGUUAAUUUGGAUCUUUUGAGGUGGGAAGACUCACCUUUAAUCUGGGCCACACUGUCUGCUGGCAGCCUACAGAAAGGACAUGGAAGGACGAAGCUUGUCUCUCUUUGCCUGCUUGCUCUCACUGGAAAGUCCAUUCCUUCACCGGAUUAGAGCCUACUGCUUUGAGAUUCCAACAUAAACUGAAGACCAGCAGAGACAUGCAGCCUCCUGGACUGAACAACUACAGAAUUCUUGGACUUUCCAUUGGUAGACAGUCAUUGUUGGACCAGCUAGACUACAGCCUGUAAAUUACUCUAAUAAAUCCCUUCUACAUCUGUAUAGAUUCAUUCUAUCAGUUCUGUUACUCUAGAGAACUAUGACUAAUACAUCCACCCAGCUUUAGUAGCAUUUCAUCAGUAAUAAAAAGACUACCUCUAAGUCAUCAAUAAAUGAAUAAAUAGAAAGAUUCUGCUAACUCUUUUUGGACUUUUAACUGAUCUAUUGCUAUUAAGAAUUGAUUCUAGAAUGUUCCUUAAGAGCUCUUCUGCAUGAUUGCCAGAAGUUUCAGA